rnacentral:tRNA from 1 species
UUUAACCUUCAGCUAAGUUAGUAUCAUAUUA